ensembl:processed_transcript 9930104L06Rik RIKEN cDNA 9930104L06 gene
AGCCUCAGUCAGGGGGUCCUACAGAAAUCGACAAAAGCAAGUCAGGAGUAAUCAUGCUGGAGCUAAGUUGAAUGUCUAGCCACCCUCCUCAAGGUCCGUAACACCAUCAACAGCCACGUGGAGCAGGUGUUUCAGGCCUACGAGCAGCAUGCGGCUGUGCUAGACAUUGACACCGUCCUGCGCCCCUCAGUUGUGAGCCCCUCUGUGGCUGACAUGUUGGAGUGGCUGCAGGACAUCGACAGACAUUAUGGAAGCUCGUACCUGAAGAGAAAGUACCUCCUCUCCUCCAUCCACUGGGGAGACUUGGCCAGCAUCCAAGCACUGCCCAAGGCCUGGGACCAGAUUUCAGAAAAUGAGUGCCAAACUCUUGUGUCAGAUGUCCUGGUGAGUGUCUCCUUCUUCCUGGAGGAGCCAGGAGGCUGUGCAGCGUCUGGAGAUCUGGAGCACCACAGCUGAGGGCUGCCAUUGCUACACUAGGCUAUUUCUAAGUGAGGGUCAGCAUUGCUACCUGACUCACUGGAAUAGCAGUGCCUAGGACUUCUCCGUGCUAGGC